UCUAUCCCCAUCCCCAUCCAAGCUCCAGAUCCAUGGCCUGCUCUGCUUCUUCACAGUCGGGUGCUAAUGGAGUUCGGAGCUCCCGGAGGCAACGGAGGCCCUGGGGGUCAUGAAGGUCCAGGAGCCAAUGUCAACGUCUCUGCCGCUCAUGCCCAUUUUGCGGCAGCUGAAUCUCAACAGCCAUCUCACGCAAAGGAACCCGUCCCGGCACUAGAUACUACAAGUGCAGAUUUUCAGCUAUGAAAAGUGCCCGUUAUUCGAGUGGAGGGAGGGAUAUGCAGAGCUCGUCGGUUCCAAUGUCGCGCAAGCUCAGCAAAAGCGCACCCCAAGCAGCAGCUCCUGCAAAUGCUCACCGUCAGCUACUGAGGCUUAAUCUACUCAUCAACGUCACCAACACACUUGCAAACCAUCCGUUGUUCUGCUCAUACUCAUGUGGGCAAGCCGCAACUGAUGUUCUGCCUCGAACUGUACAGCGACUAGGAAAUUAAUUACCAGAUCAUGUAAGCCAGACUUAGGCAGUGUGUGUUAGCAACUUUGUGUUGCAUAUGAAAUUAAUUAUCACGUUCCACUGGUCCAGCACCGCCACUCCGUCACACGACCAUCAGCCGCCCCCGACGUGGAACCUGCUCCGUCUGCGUAUGGAAAGGCCCACUUCAGUUAAUGCACAUGUAUUGCUCUCUCGCUUGCUUUUCCGCAUGCUGUAUUUGCAAAGAGUAAAGUCUGAAAAAAACCUUGUGGUUGUAGAUGAAGUUGAAAUUGAACCCGCAACUUUUAAUCCCAGAAACGAGCACCCUCAACUCACUUAUCCCGGUCUGUUCUCGCGUGAUGCUUGUUUCCGCGCCUGAUUCGCUGACGUGGCAAGGGUCAACGCUGGGAUUGUUGACUGGCUGGUUAAGUACUAUCCACGUAGGUUGGGUCAUGUGUAAACGACUUCGGUCGUUCUAAUCGAAUCGAACAAGAGGGGAACAGAUAGUAGGGUUUGUCUCGCAAGGAGACUGAGCAGGGGACGGUGGGCGGCGGCGCGAGGCGGCGGGCGGUGGCGGACGUAGUUUGGAACGGACUGAUGUCUUCUUCAUCUGGCGCAUCUUCCUUGCGGGCCGACGCGGUCGCCGGUUCCGUAAUGGCGGGAGGCUGUAGCUACGUUGAGUGGUGCGAUCCCUCAACAACGCCUUUUCUUCUCGAUUUGCUAGGUGAUAUCCACGAUGCAGUGUGGAGUCUGCAGGACCAAGUUGUAGCUCCACAUGAAUAGACAGAGCUGGUAGGAUUGUUGCUGCGUUUACAGAGGACAUUGAUCGGAAGAUGCCCAAAUGGAUGCAAUUAAAGCAAGAUUGGAGAAAAGGGAGAGAAAUACAAUGUAUAUAAAUGCUUUGUGUAUGCGAUUGUAGUUGCAGGAAUUGUAGUUUCAGGUUAGUAGGAAGAGAAAUGGCAGCAGUUGUUUCCAUUGUAAUGCCAGAACUUAUUUGCUAUGUUAUGCAAGCAUUGUAUGCAUAUUUGUGCAAUGAAAUAAAU